rnacentral:rRNA from 1 species
GAUCCUGGCUCAGGAUGAACGCUAGCGACAGGCUUAACACAUGCAAGUCGAGGGGCAGCAUGAGGUAGCAAUACCUUGAUGGCGACCGGCGCACGGGUGAGUAACGCGUAUGCAACCUGCCCGAUACCGGGGUAUAGCCCAUGGAAACGUGGAUUAACACCCCAUAGUACUUUUAUCCUGCAUGGGAUGUGAGUUAAAUGUUCAAGGUAUCGGAUGGGGAUGCGUCUGAUUAG